AAACUGAUUAUUCUCUAAUGGUUUAUGACAAAUUUUUAUUAGCAGUGAACACUUACCAUUUUUGUGCUUAGACACUGUAAUUUUAGGCUUUCAGGUUGCAUUUCUAAGAUGCCUUUUCAUUAGUAAGACGGCUGCCACUUCCCACAUGUGUGGAAGCCUUACCUUGUCAUCAUGUGAGUCAUCUACAGCUAAGUCUUGUAACUCAUGAGUUAAAACCUCAAGGGCUGGAGUUUCUUUCUUAAUGCUCUCUGAAAUCCUGGGUCCACCUCUAGGUUUCUGGGGCUGUUUCUUCACAGGUUCAUCUUUUGUUUUUCCUUUCUUUGCCUUUUUCCCUUUUUCUUCUUUGUUUGAACCUGCAGACUUCAAUUCAUAGAGGAAAAUUCAGUUAAUGUUAUCAAUAUUAUUGUCAAGAUCUUCCCAAAGACAGCAGGAUGUGGUGGCACACGCCUGUAAUUCCAGUGAUUUGGGAGCCUGAGGAAGGAGGGUCACAAGUUUAAGGCCAGCCUGGGCAACUUAGCAAAAGCCUGUCUCAAAAUAAAAAUUUUCAAAGGGUUGGUGAUGUAGCUUAGUGGUAGAAUGCCCCUGAGUUCAAACCCCAGUACAACAAAAGGGAAAAAAAAAAAGAUUUUUAAUAAAGAUGUACUGAAUGUUUAUCACAAGUUAAGCAUGGGCUGGGUGUCCACUGAAAAGCAAAAGGAAUGUUCUUAAUGUUACUUACCCCCAGCAAUUUCAUAAUAAGUUCACGAUCUUCUUCAUCCUGGUCUUUGUAUUUUUCCUUCAUUUUUUUCAUUUUACUCUACAAAAAUUCAACAGUAAAAUGGUCAACAAAUAUUUGUAGGGAAAAGGUGACUCUUUAAUCUCUGUCAAAAUGCUUAUUGAGCUGAGGAUGUAGCUAAGUGGUAGGGUACCUGCCUAGCAUGUGAGGCUCUAGUACCACCAAACACACACACAACAAAGAACUUAUUGAACAAAGCACCAUUAUAAACAAUAUGACAGAUACAAAGAAGGAUAAAGCCAUAGUCAUACUCAAAGAAUUUGCCAUAUGGUAAAGAGAAGAUACAUAUAGAAAUAAGAAUAAAUUAACAUUUAAAACAUUGUAGGAAGGUGGGCUGGGGAUAUAGCUCAGUUCAUGGAGUGCUUCCCUCAUCUGCACAAAGUCCAGGGUUCAAUCCCCAGCACUGCCAAAACACUAAAAUUAAAUUUAAAAAUGUAGAAAAAGUAUAAACAAUUUUUUCUGAGAUAAUUUUUAAAAAGGAGGCAUUUUCAGUCUCAGCAAAAACUGUGGGGAGUAAAUGAAGCAAAAUCUGAAAGUUUUUUUUUUUUUAAAAAAAGAAGUAAAUUUUAUAGCAUCUGGGAAUAAGGGAAAACCAAGAAUAAAAAAGAAAAGACCAAGGAGUAGUAACUGCAGUCAUUACAUUUAGUUAGAAUCAUGGUACACAUAAAGGAAAAACAGGAAAUCAGCUAAUGCAGGCCUAGGCAUUUACCAGUGACUAACUUUUUUAGGCAAUGGGGACUGAACCCAGGGCUUUGAGCAUGGUAAGCACAUGCUCUACCACUGAGCUACAAAACCCCAAAGCCCUGAGUUAAUUUUUCAAAAGAUACAGUAACAUAUUAGCACAUAAUCUUCUUAAUACUGCUACAGCAUUUUAAAAAGUAUAUUCUAUAUAGAUUAUUUUUUUAUUCAUCAUUUCCAUUUAAUAAAAUACAUAAAAAUUCUACCCAAAAUCACAUUGAUAAUUGAAAAAGAAACUAAGUUCUCUCAAUAAAGAUCAGCUCUGGGGCUGCAGGUAACUCAGUGGUUGAGCACUUGCCCCAUCAUGCAUGAGACCUUGGAUCGAAUCCCUAGUACUACUCCUACAUAAACUGAGAGCUUCUGAGGAGAUGUUGGAGUUCUCUAUGUUGCCUAAAGACUGUCUUCCUAGCUAGUCAUCAAAGGAAGUCAUACAGGACUCUCUUUUUUUUUUGCCUACAUCUUCUAUUCAUUUAAACUUUAAAAAAACUCACAAUUUCACAACUUCAUUUGCGAACCAUACUGUACCAAACAGAUCACUACAAAGUUUAUUACCUUUUGUCCUCGUUUCAUUGGUUGUGCAACUGCAACAUUUCUGUUUGUGUUCUGUUGAGUUUCCAUGUGUACAGAACUUUCUUUGUCCUUUCCCUCUAUUGCUUCUAAAUCCCCUGAGUCACUUAGAAGUUUUUUCUUCUUCAUUUCCCUAAAACAAAUGAAGUGAAAAAAAAAAGCAAAUUCUUAGAAUUUCCAAAUUCUUAGUGCCCUAAAAAAAAUUCAGAGAACAUGCACAAUAUAUAAAAGAUCAUGAUUUCUAUUUACCCUGAUAAUCACUAUAGAAUAGUAUACAUACAAAAAGGCUCAAAGAAUCACAUGGAAAAGAGCUGAAAAAUUUUCAGCUGUAAUAGAUUAAUCAUUCUUUGUGUUAUCCAGGCUCAACAUUCUGUCACCCUUGACUUAUCCUCCAUCUACCCACACUCACUCAAUUGAAAACCUUGGGGUUGCAGUUGUGACUCAGUGGUAGAACACUUGCCUAGCAGCUGUGUGAGGCACUGGGUUUGAUCCUCAGCACCACAUAAAAAUAAAUAAAUAAAAUAAAAGUAUUGUAACUAAAUAUAUAUAUUUAAAUGGGACAGAGGGAUUGAGAGAAGGGAAAAUAUGGCUUAUUAUAUUUACUUCUAUACCAAUUUUCCAAAUGAAUUUUGAAGUUGUUCUUAGAUGAGAAAUUAAGGAGUCCUCUGUCCAGAUUUCAUAGGUAUGUGCCUUAAGAACUUACUGAUUUCAUAAUACUUAUGUCCAAAAACAUCCUACACUCCAAAUUUAGGGAUUAAAAUACAAUAUCCCAUAUGUCCUCUGACAUAAAGAUACAGGGUUGGUGAGGCUGGGAUUGUGGCUCAGUGGUAGAGUACUUGUCAAUCAUGUGUGAGGCACUGGGUUCAAUUCUCAGCAUCACAUAUAAGUAAAUAAAUGAAAUAAAUGUCCAUUGACCAAAAAAAGAAAAAGAAAAAAGAAAGAAAGAAAAGAAAACCUUGCUGGCCAGGUACUGGGAUUUGUAGUCUUUGUAUCAAAAAUGGCCUUGGCAGAUCUUAAGCAUUUUCAAUAGAACAUCUGUUGAUUAGUUAUUGAAUAAAUAAACGGAUACAAAAAAUAAAUAGGAAGAAGCAAACAUUCCAUUGCUAUAUUUUUCUUCAUAUUCCCAGUUUAGGACCUUACCAACUGCCAAACUUUCUUUAAUGAAUUCCCAGUAAUCUACCUAAACUUCUAUAUUAAUAUUCUUUAAUUGUUUACCUAUGUUACAUUCUCAUUCAAAAUCCUAAAAAGGUUAUUUUCAUAACUUUCAGGAUAAAGUGCCAAAUACUUAGCUUAUCAUUCCAAGUUCUCCACUUUUGGUCCAAAUUCACCUCUUCAGUCUUCCCAUAAUCUGUUCACUAAUGUGAACUUUGUCUUCCUUUUGCCUUAGUCUAUCAUUUUCCCAAAGCAACAUAUAUAUUACUUCCAAAUCUCUCUCCCCUUCAUUAAUGCUAAUUUUCCUUGGAGUCUUUUAUCUUCCUUCAUAUACUUAAUGGCUACUAUAUCUUCAAGGUAUAUUUCUGAUGGCAUUUCCCAAAAUAUCUAAACUUAAAAGCAAUCUCUCACUCCUACUGUAUCACUUUGACAAUACGAUGUAUUGAUAAGUAUUUCCUGAAAACAUGACUCAAAAAUUUCUUGAAGGCAUGAAUUUGAUAUGUAAACCUCUUUGUAUACUCAGUAUAAGUAAAGCACCAUGUAUUGAGAUGUACUGAGGGUUCUCUGUAAUUGUUUUUAAUGACUGUCUUUCUAAACCAAAAGGACUUUAUUAUCUAUUUCAUUCCUCCUAGAGUACUUUAUGUUUUUCCCAUCCUGUAGGAGUUGUUCCCUUCCUCUGCCUUUCUAUGUGCCUCCAGAGACCUGCUAUUAAAAAAAAAAAAAAAAAAAAAAAGACUUAAAUUUUUUCCUAAUUUCAAGUAUUCUUAUUUAUUCCUGUCAGUAUUAUCCUAGAACUAACGUGUCUACUUAAUACACAAUAAUCAUCAUUAUACAUGUUUAUAUAAUAAAAGGUCCUUUAGUUUUUCUUUCUCAGUACUGGAGAUUGAACCCAGGGUUAGCACAUGCUAAGCAAGUGCUCUACCACUGAGUUACAUACUGAGCCCAAAAGGCCAGUCUUAUUACUUGAUAAUAAAUUAGGGACCUAAACCUGAAAAACAUUAAAAGAGUUGAAUAUCUAAAAAUAAAGUUUUGUGCUUGUCUUGGUAAUUUUAAUAUAGUAAGUCUUUAGAAUAAAUAGUCAAGUAUUCUGUGAUAGCUGAGCUAUCGUUUAAAAAAAAUACAAAAAGUUAUGCAGAGUGAGGGCACCCCUACAAUCUCCACUACUAAGGAGACUAAGGAAACAGGAUCACAAAAUUUAGGGCAGCCUGGGCAACUUAGCAAGACCCUGUCUCAAAAUGAAAAAAAAUUUUAAAAAGGCUAUAGCUAUAGGUCACAUCACUUGCCUGGUGUGUGCAAAGCCCUUGUUUGAACUCUUGCACUUACUCACUAAAUAAAUAAUGCCUUUCAGUUAAAUAAUACAAAUAUAUUUACCUUCUUUCCUUGGCUGAUAAAUGUCUCCGGCCCUGUAAUUUACUGUCAUUCUAUUAAAAUGAGAACAAAAAGAAAGAAAUAAAAUUCCUCAACAAUAUCAUUGAAUUUUUCAAAAAGUAAAAUUAAAAAGAAAAUAUUGAGAAAAAUGUAAUUUUUUUUUUAUUAAACCUUAAAAUAGCUUACUGAAUUAGAAGAUUCUUCUUUUGAAGCCAAUUUCUGAAGAGACCUAUAAAAACAAGAAGAGUAUAAAGCCUGAAAACAUUCUUAUAUCAUACUCUAAAUGAUUUUUAUUUUUGUAUUUUAUUUUCUAGAGUACUAUAACUAUACAUAAGUUGAAUUCAUUGUGCUCUUAAUUACUUAUAAUCCUACAAGUACAAUCAAAUCAUUCAUAUCUCCACAUUUUUUCACCAAGAAGGAAACAAGCUUACACAUAAGUAACUUGCCCAAAGGCACAUCCUAAGACUCAAUUUUGAUUGUCUGACUCCCAAGCCAUUAUUUAUAAUCCCAAUAAAAACACUUUUUUAAAACUAUAUAUUGUUACUUGGUGAUCAUUAAGACAUUAAUAACUAGAACCCCUCUUUUUUAGAUGGAUUACUAGCCUUUAGAAUCAUUUGUUUCUAUUCUGAACUACUUUGGUCAUUUUUAAUAUCAAUGUAUUUUUCUACCCUUGUCCUGGGAAUUUCUUUAGAGAAAUUAAAUGUGGAAAAAAAAAAAAA